UUUAGACACCGGUAGCUGGUGGUGGCGUUAUAUCCGCUACAGUCAAUUAUGAGUGCAUUUCUACUUAUAUUAAAUUGAUCAAUUAUUAAUAUGCGCUUACUGUAUGAUAGCUAGCAAAUUAACGUUAGCCUGCCUAGCUGGAACUUCUGAAAGAAGAUGUUAUAUUUCCAAAAGAUAACCAAACAAAAGCAUAUUUCUUUUUUUUCGAGAUGUGUUUGUGCCGUCGUGUGCGUUAGUAGCACAAUUUCUAACUUAUUUGUAUUCGUUUUCACUUCUCCAUGAAUGUUAAGUUUUCGCCUACUUUUCUUAGUGGACGUACAAUCAUCGCUUAUUGAAUUAUGGGGCGUUUCAGGCCUCGGAGUGAACAUAAUUGUACACUCGCAAAGCUGACUAAAAACGAUGGCUGAGGGGCUUACGUUGCAAACUUCCCGAGAUAGGCUAAUAAUUUGGACCGCCCCCCAAGAUGGCCCCAAGGGCAUAAAGCGAGGGUAAGUGCGCGAGGGCGUGUCUUUUUAAAUGUUUGCAUCCGAAAGUAAAUAUGUUUUUGUUUAUCUUUUGGAAAUUGUAGAAAUAAAACAUUUUCCUUGUACAGAAGUUCCAGCUAGGUAGGCUAACAUUAGCUAGCUAAUUAAUUUACUAGCUAUCAAACAGUAGGCAUUAAUCAUGUUAUAUAUUUAAUAUAAGUAGACAUGCAAUCAUAAUUGACUGAAGCGCAUAUAAAACCACCACAAGCUACCGGUGGCUGAAAACACAAUCAUCACGGGAUGAACGAGUGGCCAAUUUCCGGCCCAGCGGCUGUCCACUUAAAAAUCAUUCCUUCCUCGCCCUUUAAAUUUAUACUCGUCAGACAUAUGAUACUUCAUCAGAAGUGUCCACUUAAUUUGAGGGCGGAGGGUAUAGGGUGUGUCUUUGUAGUGUUUGGACUGUAAACUAGUGCCCAUAAUGAGUAUGAGGUUGAGACAUCUAGGAAAAAUUGUCUAUUUUUUCCCUUUUUUUUUCUGUCACGUUGUAAAUAUUUACCCCAAAACAAACCUGGAAAUAUAGACAAUACAAUAUUGUGUAUAUAAACAUCAGUAUGGGAUAUGUAUGAAAAUAUAAAAACAGGCAUUAUAUAUGCUAGCCAUAAAGUUGUAAGGACCCAGCCGUAUAAAUUGAACGCACCCUCGUUCCUGAGGCCUUUCUCCCGUCAAUACGCUCGCGUGAGCAGGUGAAAAAGAUGAGCGCAAAAUGAAGAACGGCAUUAAAUGUUUUUAUGUCACGAAAAGUACAACCCAGAUGGGCUGGCAAUACGUGUUGUAUGUAAAGUCAGCGAAUGUGGUUGAGAGGUUGCCCAAGUCACAAGAAGUUUGCAAGACUGCAGCAGCCAACAUUGAAAUGCAUAAAACUAGGAUCAGUCUAGGCUCGGUAUUCAAGGAAAAUGGAGGGCAGUUCCAAACAGGCUCUAGCACUUGCGUGCUCCAGAAGAGGCUUGCUUCCAACGUUCUGCCCUGUGUGAAGAAGAGAUGGCAAAACUCCUACUGAGAAUGAUGGAUGGACGAUGGGUGCAUUCUGUUACAAGACUAAAACUCUUUGAUGUCAAAUGAUACUUGGGUAAUGGACAAAAUGGCGUCCAAAGUGGUGUGCAUCUAAAACUGCAUCCGUUGCUGCGUGCUCCAGAAGAGGCUUGCUUCCAACGUUCUGCCCUGUGUGAAGAAGAGAUGGCAAAACUCCUACUGAGAAUGAUGGAUACAUUCUGUCGCAGGACUCCAAUCCAUUGAUGACCAAAGUUAUACUUGGAUAAUGGACAAGAUGACGUCCCAGUGCUGUGCAUCUGAAACUGCAUCCGUUGAUGCGUGUUCAGUCUCCCAGAGAAACUUGCCUCUAGUGUCCUGCCCUGAGGGAAGAAGAUAUGGCUGGAUCCCAAUGAGAUUGCGAACUCCUACAAAGUGGGAUGGAAGAUGGAUACAUUCUGUUGCAAGGCUCCAACCCCCUUGAUAUUUGGUCCAGCUUGGCUGGUGCCAAUCUACUUGGCGGUCUUGCUGCUGUUGUGGCAAUGCAAGUUCGACUGGGACUUGAGGAUGGUGCCGACGCUUGUUGAAGAGCUUCCGUCAUGAAAAGAGCUGCUCCGCCAGGAGGCAUUUCAUUGUGUAGACUGUAUCCAUGGCUGUAUUUUGUGCCAAUGGCAAAUUAACUUUGAUUUGAUCUCCCAAAGUCACCAAGAGUCAAGUCAUGUAGGGGGUGUUCCUCUUGGUGUUGUCCUUGGACUCCCUUCUACUACAGUUUCCCCCCAAGUAAAGUACUUUGACAACUGCUGAUGUAAAAAAUGUUUUUGAUAAUGAACUUUUAAAUUGCCACCAAUAAAAAGUAAUCUGAUUGCAGCAUUUGAAUAAAGAAUGAAUGGUCAUCCUUGCA